UACGUAGGGGGCAAGCGUUAUCCGGAAUUACUGGGUGUAAAGGGAGCGUAGACGGUAAAGCAAGUCUGGAGUGAAAGGCUGGGGCCCAACCCCGGGACUGCUCUGGAAACUGUAGAGCUAGAGUGCGGGAGGGGCAGGCGGAAUUCCUAGUGUAGCGGUGAAAUGCGUAGAUAUUAGGAGGAACACCGGCGGCGAAGGCGGCUUACUGGACUGUAACUGACGUUGAGGCUCGAAAGCGUGGGGAGCAA
rnacentral:rRNA from 1 species